rnacentral:lncRNA from 1 species
UAUUUUCUUUUCUUUAUUAGAAAGAGGUCUCUACAUUAUAGCUACCUCUCUCCAUUACUUUACACGCGUCUCCUUUUCUUCUCCCCUUAGAAUACUGUACAGCUGACACAAACUCCCAAGGCAGGAAAAUACAAACCAGCAUAUUUAACCCGAACAAGGUCGCAUGAACGAACAAGCAAAGCGAAAUGUCUGUGGAUGGCUGAAUUACAGGACAAACAGCAUAAAUAAAGCAUCGGUCAUCGGGAAACGUAAAAUUAUGGAAUGAGGUAAUAUCAAAAUGCCCCUGAUCGGCCACCCACCUCUGGAGAAGCCCUCGCUGUGCUUCUGCCUUCUGUGUGUGGCUAGGCAGGUGAGGUGGCCUUCCUUGCCCCUACCCAGAGAUGUGCCAGCGGUGCGCGGCCUUGUCUGGGGUUUCUCUUUGCAAAGAAGCUCUUGUGGCAAGAGGAGGACUCGAGGUGGAACUGGGGGAAGGGAAGGAAGAGGGAAAGAAGAUGUCCAGGCCCUGUCUUCUGCAGGUCCAGCCUCAGGCUGUUGUAGAGGCCCAGCCACCUUCUGUGCUUUCCUGGGAUUCGACACCCUUCAGUCCUCAGGGCUCAGGGCUGGAGGACCAGUUCUCAUCUGAGAAGCUUCUCAUUUUAGAAGAAAACGACCCCCUCCCCCCAAACCUCACAAUGUAGGGAGGGAAAGGAAUUGUUUUACAUACAAGAAAAGGGUUAUUUUCAACAAGAAGGUAUGGCAUCUUUCCCCUCUGAUCACAAGGAUGCUUUGAAGGGAUCUCUUGCCCGUCUGUCACACAAUAGCCAGGUCUCCACUCGACUGCCCUGUACCACUCUGGUAAGAAAACUGCAGGACUUGGAUGGUAGGUGAGCAAGGUGCAGGCAAGAGCAGGAUCUAGAAGCCCCAUUUGGGCUGGCCCCAACUCAGGGCACCCUUGGUCCCUUCUCUGCAUCCCGACGAGCCAGGUGGACUGGGUAUCUUCUGAGCACAUCAGACAGAGGGCUGCUUACAAAUUCUUUUGGUGCAUGCCCUUGGUGAGUUCACAUGAGCACCCAGGAAGCUAAGCUUUUCUUUCUGCAAGCAUCUGAGAGCAAUCUCUAGUAACCACACUGACAUGUGGGCUAGUGUGGACGCAGUCCUGACCCAAUGGGCUACAGUGUGAUCCUAGAGUGGUUGUUCCCACCCACAGUACAUUAAAGGGCUCUCCUCGGGGCCUGAUCCCAUCCCCCCACCCACUCACACUUCUUGGUUCCUUUAUGUCACCCGCAACAAGACAAAGGCCAUGUAAUUCCCUGCACACAGAAUUUCACACCAGCCCUCCCUUUGGCGGGAAGACUCCAUCAUAUGGCUUGAUUCACGACCCCUGGGGGUCCCCAGCAGAUGCCACGUGCCCAGCAAAAUAAAGACAAGCCCUGAGCUGACCUCCCC